GUGAAACACCCAUUCCUAGACAUGAAACUAUAAAUAUACCCUACGUAAUUUAAAACAUAGAAACACACCCAAAAUAAACCCAAAAAUCAACAAUUGUAUAUUUUUUAAUUUAAUUAAUAAGAUGAAAUAUCUUUAUUACCCUUUUUAGCAUUAAGUUAGUUUUGGAUCUCGUUUGAAGCCUCCCUCAGGUUUGAAGCAUCAAGCCCUCCCUCAGUUUUGAAGCCUUAAGCCCCUCUCCUGCUUCAAACCACCAUCUCUCCUCUGUUAUCUCCCUUCUUCCCUCUCUUUGCCUUCAAAGUAAACCAAACAGUCUCAAAGCCAUGGACCAACACAAGACCGACGACAAUCUCCGUUACGUAGGUGGCCUCACACGUGUUCUCGCCGCCGAUGCCUCCAUUUCCUUUGCAGAUCUGUCUUGUGUUCCUGAUUUUCAACCUGGAUCUCUUCUUCGCAGAUGCCGACGACGAUGAUUUUUCCAUAGCCAAAGGGGCUGCCGCUUCCUCUUCCUCUCUGCGGCCGCCAUUGAAGAAGCUCUUCUUUGAAGAGCGGAAUACGCCGAACUCGGCAAUGUCGUUUUAGAACUCAGAAGGUGGACUCAGGUCCUGAUCCAUGAGAGCAACCAGCUUCUGAGUUUGAUCAUCAACACCUUUUACAAUUUGUUAUGUAAGUUGAUUUGUAAUGUACAAUUUGUUAUCUGUAAGUCGU